GACGAACGCUGGCGGCGUGCUUAACACAUGCAAGUCGAACGGAAAGGCCCUGCUUUUGUGGGGUGCUCGAGUGGCGAACGGGUGAGUAACACGUGAGUAACCUGCCCUUUACUUUGGGAUAACUUCAGGAAACUGGGGCUAAUACCGGAUAGGAGCUCCUGCUGCAUGGUGGGGGUUGGAAAGUUUCGGCGGUUGGGGAUGGACUCGCGGCUUAUCAGCUUGUUGGUGGGGUAGUGGCUUACCAAGGCUUUGACGGGUAGCCGGCCUGAGAGGGUGACCGGGCACAUUGGGACUAAGAGACGGACCAGACUCGUACGGGAGGCAGCAGUGGGGAAUAUUGCACAAUGGGCGGAAGCCUGAGGAAGAAACGCCGCGUGCGGGAUGACGGCCUUCGGGUUGUAAACCGCUUUCGCCUGUGACGAAGCGUGAGUGACGGUAAUGGGUAAAGAAGCACCGGCUAACUACGUG
rnacentral:rRNA from 1 species